CCAGCCACACUGGAACUGAGACACGGUCCAGACUCCUACGGGAGGCAGCAGUGAGGAAUCUUCCACAAUGGGCGAAAGCCUGAUGCAGCAACGCCGCGUGAAGGAUGAAGGCCUUCGGGUUGUAAACUUCUUUUAUGAGUGAAGAAUAUGACGGUAACUCAUGAAUAAGCACCGGCUAACUACGUGCCAGCAGCCGCGGUCAUACGUAGGGUGCAAGCAUUAUCCGGAGUGACUGGGCGUAAAGAGUUGCGUAGGCGGUUUAAUAAGUGAAUAGUGAAACCUGGUGGCUCAACCAUACAGACUAUUAUUCAAACUGUUAAACUCGAGAAUGGUAGAGGUAACUGGAAUUUCUAGUGUAGGAGUGAAAUCCGUAGAUAUUAGAAGGAACACCGAUGGCGUAGGCAGGUUACUGGGCCAUUUCUGACGCUAAGGCACGAAAGCGUGGGGAGCGAACCGGAUUAGAUACCGGGGUAGUCCACGCCGUAAACGAUGGAUACUGGCUGUUGGAGGUAUCGACCCCUUCAGUAGCGAAGCUAACGCGUUAAGUAUCCCGCCUGGGGAGUACGGCCGCAAGGCUAAAACAUAAAGGAAUUGACGGGGACCCGCACAAGCGGUGGAUUAUGUUCUUUAAUUCGAUGAUAACCGAAGAACCUUACCAGGGCUUGACAUCCAGGGAAGGUCUGCGAAAGUAGACUGUGCCUUUUGGAACCCUGUGACAGGUGAUGCAUGGCCGUCGUCAGCUCGUGUCGUGAGAUGUUAGGUUAAGUCCUUCAACGAGCGCAACCCUUGUGAAUAGUUGUAUUUUUCUAUUCAGACUGCCCCGGUAACGGGGAGGAAGGAGGGGAUGAUGUCAGGUCAGUAUUUCCCUUACGUCCUGGGCUAGAAACGUAAUACAAUGGCUAGUACAAUGCGCAGCGAAGCCGCGAGGUGAAGCAAAUCGCAUCAAAGCUAGUCCCAGUUCGGAUUGGAGGCUGAAACUCGCCUCCAUGAAGUCGGAAUCGCUAGUAAUCGCAAAUCAGCAAGUUGCGGUGAAUACGUUCCCGGGUCUUGUACACACCGCCCGUCAAACCAUGAAAGUGACCAACACCCGAAGUCCGAUUCGUCGGCCUAAGGUGGGGGGCAUGAUUGGGGUUAAGUCGUAACAAGGUAUCCGUACCGGAAGGUGCGGAUG
rnacentral:rRNA from 1 species